rnacentral:rRNA from 1 species
AGAGUUUGAUCCUGGCUCAGGACGAACGCUGGCGGCGUGCCUAAUACAUGCAAGUCGAACGAGAGCGACCGGUGCUUGCACUGGUCAAUCUAGUGGCGAACGGGUGAGUAACACGUGGGUAACCUGCCCAUCAGAGGGGGAUAACAUCCGGAAACGGAUGCUAAAACCGCAUAGGUCUUCGAGCCGCAUGGCUUGAAGAGGAAAAGAGGCGCAAGCUUCUGCUGAUGGAUGGACCCGCGGUGCAUUAGCUAGUUGGUGAGGUAACGGCUCACCAAGGCCGUGAUGCAUAGCCGACCUGAGAGGGUGAUCGGCCACAUUGGGACUGAGACACGGCCCAAACUCCUACGGGAGGCAGCAGUAGGGAAUCUUCCGCAAUGGACGCAAGUCUGACGGAGCAACGCCGCGUGAGUGAAGAAGGUUUUCGGAUCGUAAAACUCUGUUGUUAGAGAAGAACAAGUGCUAGAGUAACUGUUAGCGCCUUGACGGUAUCUAACCAGAAAGCCACGGCUAACUACGUGCCAGCAGCCGCGGUAAUACGUAGGUGGCAAGCGUUGUCCGGAUUUAUUGGGCGUAAAGCGAGCGCAGGCGGUUCCUUAAGUCUGAUGUGAAAGCCCCCGGCUCAACCGGGGAGGGUCAUUGGAAACUGGGGAACUUGAGUGCAGAAGAGGAGAGUGGAAUUCCAUGUGUAGCGGUGAAAUGCGUAGAUAUAUGGAGGAACACCAGUGGCGAAGGCGACUCUCUGGUCUGUAACUGACGCUGAGGCUCGAAAGCGUGGGUAGCAAACAGGAUUAGAUACCCUGGUAGUCCACGCCGUAAACGAUGA